rnacentral:miRNA from 1 species
UCCGAUCCAGAAUAAGUGUCA